rnacentral:ncRNA from 1 species
UCAGGCUCAUAAUUGAAUUGUGACCUAUCAUAGUAAUGUGGUAUGGAAAAACUCUCUAAAUUGCCGGAAACCCCGCCCCAGUUUUACCAUUAAUGUAUUAGCAAUUUUAAGCUUAAAAUUGCUGGGGUAAGCACGAAAAUUAUUUAACAAAGUAAAUCGUGUUUGCAGUAGUAAAACUGGGGCGGGGCAAUCAGCAGCGAAAUUCGUCGCCAACGAAGACGUUCAGAGACUAUAAUGGGAGCCCCCCACUACUUUUUGAAAAAGUGGUGGGGGGAUGGGAUAGUCCGAACCUGGAAGUAAUUCCAGU